UACGGGGGGAGCAAGCGUUGUUCGGAUUUACUGGGCGUAAAGGGCGCGUAGGCGGUCGUGACAAGUCACUUGUGAAAUCUCCGGGCUUAACUCGGAACGGUCAAGUGAUACUGUCGGACUAGAGUACAGAAGGGGCAACUGGAAUUCUCGGUGUAGCGGUGAAAUGCGUAGAUAUCGAGAGGAACACCUGCGGCGAAGGCGGGUUGCUGGGCUGAUACUGACGCUGAGCGCGACGAAGCCAGGGGAGCGAACGGG
rnacentral:rRNA from 1 species